rnacentral:rRNA from 1 species
UACGAAGGGGGCUAGCGUUGUUCGGAUUUACUGGGCGUAAAGCGCACGUAGGCGGAUUGUUAAGUCAGGGGUGAAAUCCUGGAGCUCAACUCCAGAACUGCCUUUGAUACUGGCAAUCUCGAGUCCGGAAGAGGUAAGUGGAACUCCUAGUGUAGAGGUGGAAUUCGUAGAUAUUAGGAAGAACACCAGUGGCGAAGGCGGCUUACUGGUCCGGAACUGACGCUGAGGUGCGAAAGCGUGGGGAGCAAACAGGAUUAGAAACCCCCGUAGUCC